UACGUAGGGUGCGAGCGUUGUCCGGAUUUAUUGGGCGUAAAGAGCUCGUAGGCGGUCUGUCGCGUCGAUUGUGAAAACUCGGGGCUUAACCCCGAGCCUGCUUCUGAUACGGGCAGACUAGAGGUAUGCAGGGGAGAACGGAAUUCCUGGUGUAGCGGUGAAAUGCGUAGAUAUCAGGAGGAAUACCGAUGGCGAAGGCAGGUCUCUGGGCUGACACUGACGCUCAUGCACGAAAGCGUGGGGAGCAAACAGG
rnacentral:rRNA from 1 species